UCAAAAAGAUUGGGUCUCCAGUCGAUCUAUGGACUGCUGCUCCGAAUCGAGUGAUCUUCAAAUCAGUGCUCCAGUGCUCCUAUACGCAUCUCCAAAUUUACAAAAAAUUUGGGUCUCCAAUCGGUCGACUGCUCCGCAUCUCAAAUCAAUGCUCCGGUCGACUACUGUUCUGACUACUAGUGCUCCGACUGCUUUCGAUUGAACCCUAGCCAUCUAUUGAAAAAGGUAUUUCAGUGCCCUAAUUUCUAACUUCUAACAGUAUUUUUGUGCUUGUUGUAAAGUGUCGUAG
rnacentral:lncRNA from 1 species